GAUGAACGCUGGCGGUAUGCCUAACACAUGCAAGUCGUACGAGAGUUUUUAACUCAAGUGGCGGACGGGUGAGUAACACGUGAGAAUUUGCCUUUAGGAGGGGGAUAACAGCGCGAAAGUGCUGCUAAUACCCCAUAUGCUUUCGAGUGAAAUGAAUUUAUUCGCCUAAAGAGAAGCUCGCGGCUGAUUAGCUUGUUGGUAAGGUAAUGGCUUACCAAGGCGACGAUCAGUAUCUGGUUUGAGAGGACGACCAGACACACUGGAACUGAGACACGGUCCAGACUCCUACGGGAGGCAGCAGUGGGGAAUUUUCCGCAAUGGGCGAAAGCCUGACGGAGCAAUACCGCGUGAGGGAAGACGGCCUAUGGGUUGUAAACCUCUUUUCUCAGGNAGGAACUCAAUGACGUGUACCUGAGGAAUAAGCAUCGGCUAACUCCGUGCCAGCAGCCGCGGUAAGACGGAGGAUGCAAGUGUUAUCCGGAAUCACUGGGCGUAAAGCGUCUGUA
rnacentral:rRNA from 1 species